rnacentral:rRNA from 1 species
AUUGAACGCUGGCGGCAGGCCUAACACAUGCAAGUCGAGCGAGCGGCGGACGGGUGAGUAAUGUAUGGGGAUCUGCCCGAUAGAGGGGGAUAACUACUGGCAACGGUAGCUAAUACCGCAUACUAUCGGAUGUGCCAAGAUGGGAUUAGCUAGUAGGUGGGGUAAAGGCGCACCUAGGCGACGAUCCCUAGCUGGUCUGAGAGGAUGACCAGCCACACUGGACAGGAGACACGGGCCAGACGCCUACGGUAGGCAGCAGUGGGGAAUAUUGCACAAUGGGCGAAAGCCUGAUGCAGCCAUGCCGCGUGUAUGAAGAAGGCCUUCGGGUUGUAAAGUACUUUCAGCGGGGAGGCGUUACCCGCAGAAGAAGCACCGGCUAACUCCGUGCCAGCCGCCGCGGUAAUUC